GACGAACGCUGGCGGCGUGCUUAACACAUGCAAGUCGAACGGCAAGGCCCUGCUAUCUUGGGGUGCCCGAGUGGCGAACGGGUGAGUAACACGUGAGUAACCUGCCCUUGACUUUGGGAUAACUUCAGGAAACUGGGGCUAAUACCGGACCGCAGCUCCCGCUGCAUGGUGGGGGUUGGAACGUUUCGGCGGUUGGGGAUGGACUCGCGGCUUAUCAGCUUGUUGGUGGGGUAGUGGCAUACCAAGGCUUUGACGGGUAGCCGGCCUGAGAGGGUGACCGGGCACAAUGGGACUGAGAUACGGCCCAGACUCCUACGGGAGGCAGCAGUGGGGAAUAUUGUACAAUGGGCGGAAGCCUGAUGCAGCAGCGCCGCGUGCGGGAUGACGGCCUUCGGGUUGUAAACCGCUUUCGCCUGUGACGAAGCGUGAGUGACGGUAAUGGGUAAAGAAGCACCGGCUAACUACGUG
rnacentral:rRNA from 1 species